GACUCAGAGCUGAGCUAUUAAGCCAUAACACAUGGCUGACAUCUGGAACUCACUUGCAAGCUUUUCUCAUUCGAAUAUUGGUAGCCACAGCUCUCUACUCUCCUUCUCUCCAAGACGUAGCCACGCUUUCUCUAUCCACACCUCAUGGAACAGAGGAAGGAGAUGUUGGAAUGCGGAACGAUGGCAGGGCAGCUGCAGUGGCCUCCACACAGCCAGAGCAAUACUAAUGCAGUCGGUUUUGUCAUCUCUCCAAGGGACCAUAUGGCUUUCUUCAUGUGCCACUGCACCUUUAUCUCAGCAGAAUCCUAAAGCCCACAAAUGCCCCAUCACUGUGCACUUUGCAGCAGGGACACCCCACAGGCUCCUAGGCACUGCUGCCUGGAGUACUGGAUGGAGCCUCAUCAGGUUGGCAAGCUUUGCUAAUGAACACAACUUGCAGUAGGGCCAUGAGCAAAACUAGGUACUGCCAUAGCCACCCUCUUCAGAAACUGAGAAUCCCUCAGAGCCUGGGAAACCAAAAGAGACCUGCUUGUCUAUGCCUGAUCUCACAAUGGCUCUUAAGGGUCUUGGGUUUCAUUAUAGUGCUGUCGGUUCCUGGUGGAUGCACGUGGCUGUUCACUGGGGUGUUGUGCAGAGCAUCUGCCUCUGCGAGCUUUCCUUGGAUGGUCAGUCCCUGAAGGCUUCAGUGGUGUCCCAAAUCACCCCUCCUGCCCUAGGGUUUGCACACUGUCUCUGAUGCCAGACCUUGGUUGGUGUCCCCAGCACGCGCACAUUUCCAGACCCAGCCUUGCCCAACACAGUGUGGUGGUUUCCAAAGGGCUUCGACAGAGUAGCAGUGUGCCUGCUUCCCCUGUCCAAGUGCUGCAGCAGCAAACAGUGACCCUACUACUUAAUAUUUCAAAUAUACAUGAACAAUCCACCAACUCUCCAUGUCUAGUUGUUUUCUCAGAUGCUCACUUCUUGCCAUGGGUCAUGGCUUUCCCCUGGGGUAUCUCACGCUCAUUUCAGACCUGAGAAAAUGCUUGCAUGGUGAAAGCUGGUAUGUGUUUCUACAACUGUUUUAGUAGGUUUAAUAAAAGAUAUUGCCCUCUGUCUGCCCGCCUUGUUCUUUUGUAUUAUUGGACCAUUGCACCCCAGCUCUUUGUACUGCUACCAAGAGCUUGGGCACAUCAGCCUGCUGCAGUUGUGGUCUGUCUGAAGCUCUCUGGAGGCAAAUGGCUGAUGUAGAGGUCCAGGGCACCUCUACCUUUUCGCCUUUCUGGACUUUGCCAAAGGUGGAUUGUUCCUGAGGCCAUACCGUGUUAUUUUCCCAGGGCUCCUGGCCCCCAGCUUGGACUAAGAGGUUUGUUUCUACUACCUGUCUCUCCUCACUCACGUGGCUUGAGGACCAGUUCUUGGGCCUUGGUCUGCAGGCACUCCUGCUUCUCUUGGAUGGAAAUCAGUAAGUGACGGCUUGCAUAUUGCUCUGUAAUUCAGAGCACUUAGAUGAAGCCACGUGCAUCUACAGGUUCUUGCAGUGGAUACUUCCAUUUCAAAACCAUUGUCCUUUAUUCCACCAUGCUGGGGAAAGUGCAGGUGAGCCACCGUGUUGAGGCAGAGUGUUUGGAUGUCAUGGCUAAGCCUUUUUUCCACUGCAGACCAUCCAGCUCCAAGAAACCACGCCACGUCAGAUAUUGCCAAGCCAAACACACCAGGUUGAUCAAAAGUGAGUUCAGUAUUUAUGGUCAUAUGUAUGUUGUAGUGAAGCUAUUUGUAAGACCAAGAUUGAUUACCUAGGUCACAGUCUGCUGGGAUUUACAGUCAUCCCAACCAGAUAUAUUUUAACUUUCCUCCGAGGUUCAAUUUUUGUUAUGCCACAAGCAUAGGCUCUUCCUCUGACUUGAACGCAUUUUUGAUCAGCAGUAUCAAAGUCCUGUCUGGCUGCUCAUUUGAGGUUGAUAUAAAACAUCUCAUUGUUUCUCCUGGGCUUUUUUUCAUCCCUGACCAACCUUCAUUGUGCCAGCUGAAGAAUAGCACGUUCCUCCACAUCAGCACCAGGGUGGGAGGGCUGCGGGUGAGCAGGGCUGCGGCUUGGGUAACUGAGCUUGUGUGCUUGUUUUAGAGAAGCUGUCAUAGUGUGUGUGGGGGGGAUGGCAUGGGGAAGGCCAGGCAAUGAGUCUGGGGGAGAGAGGCAAAAGAGCCAGGCUGAGGAAACAUUUGGAAAUGCAGAUCCAGAGAAAACAUCAGCUCAGGGCUUGAUGGCUGGGCUGCCACUGCCUUCUGCAUUUCAGAGCACAAGACCAGCAAGACCGACCCCACCAUCCAAUGCUUCCUCACCAGGCUACGUGCCUGGGCACCUCAAACCGGGGAGGGAUUGAUGAGUGCAGUGGUUGCCCACAGAUGCAGCAGCACAGAGGCUUCCCCCUCUUCCCUCUGCCCUGAACCCUGGAUCACCACCAGUAGCACCCUUAGCCACAAAAUGAACAAAGAAAUAUUGCUGCUCUCCAAGUUUUAAAGCAGAGAGAGAAAAAAAAGAAAAGCACCACGUUGCAUGCAUGCAGGCACAUACCCUAUCAGAGAGCACAGGGUGCAAGUAAAAAUAGUGAGGUGCAGGCGUGGGGAGCUGGAGGUGGAGGUGUUACAAGAUCUGUGCUGUGCUGCAAAAUGUUCCCACCACUGACAGCGUUAUUGAGUGAUAACAUCUUGGCAGGCUACUUUUAGAUGUAGUUUCAUCCAAUUUCUCUUAUGCUUCCCUGUUUUAAUUCCAGGAUGGCUCUGGACAGAGAGGAUGAAGAUAGCUGGAGGUGUGUAAGAUACUCUUUAUCUAAAUAAAGCAGAUGUGGGAUCUUGAAGUGUGCUAAGCGUUGAAAUGAUCAAUGCAUUGCUCUCAGCUCCUGAGCACUAGUUGAGACUUACAGGGGAGAGAGUGUGGAGACACUGGUGGGACGGUCCAAGGUCUGAUCAUGAGGUGGAGCUUGUUCUCCUGCUCUCCACAAUCCCCUUGUUUCACAGCAGGCAUCUUUCUUCACCAGCCCAAGUCCAUUCCUGGCUCCCCCCAGCUGCACAGCCAGGAAUGUGCUGUGAGGUGGGGAAAGCCUUGGUGUGCUGCAGCCCCUUACCCACCUGGCGGGCGUGCACCACCCGCAGUGUGAUGGCCGUGGGGCAAAUAGCUGCUCACGGCCACCACUGCAAGCUGUGCUGCACCAGGAGGUCUCAUUCUGAUGGGGAAACCAUGCACCAAACUGCUGGCCUGCCCGCUCCUCACGGGGCACGGCAGGUAGCUGGAUCUUGGGGUGCUUCCAGGAGCGCAUCUCUGCUGGGAAACAUUUCUCUCCACAGCAAUUGGCACCUGGUGGCUGCUGGGAGCUCUCGGGCUGGGUCAGUGGUGUGCCAGCUUUCCUGCUGGCCUAGGGUUGCCACCCUUCUGGGGCAGGGGUCCUUUCUUCAUGUAUUUAUCCGUGUUUUUAAAGUGAGGGGAUUUUCUUCAAAAAGCACACCAGCUCUGAUGUGACCCUUGCAUGUUCCCGUGCAGCGCGGACCUUCUUAUUUCCUGAAUGGCUUGCUCUGCACUCGAGUUAACUCACACGCUGGAUUUUGUCCAAGUACAUUUUGUUUCUUGAUAUGAGGCCAGGCUUUGCUGAGUUGUGGUGCCGUUUUCUUCUCCCUGCUCUCCUCCCUGCUUCUUUAUUAUCAUCCUCAUUACCGAGUGUUACUGGCACCGUGCAGCCAAGGGGGGGAGAGCAAGCCCCAGAUCUAUGCCUGGCUCUGACAACAGCUGAAGGGAGCGCGCUGAAGCAACAACAAAUGCCUUCUUUAAUGUACAUUGCCUGCACAUUGAGCUGUCCCAAGCCUGGCCCGGCACUGAAAGGUAUGUCUGAGACCAGCUGAAGCAGAAAACAUUUGAACUCUACACCCUGCCAAAUAGCUUCCAGAUGUGUAAGAUAUAGCCUCACAGUGGACUUUGACUGUAGCUCUGCCAACAUACGUCUGCACAUUUUUGGUGCACAGGGAACAUGAAAGUAGAUCUUUUACAACAUCUGCUGCUUUUCCCCAGUUAUUCCUCCCUGCUUCUUGUGGCCCUUUUCCUAUAUUUCAUCCUUCUAUAACACACACAUGUAUAUAUUAGGAAAAGCUACAAGUCCUUCCACUGAUUUAUUAAAUCUUCCCUGCAUGUUUCAUACCUUUUCUGGCUGACAGUGUGGUCGAAAGAGAGGGAAAGACAGAGAGACCUUCUGCUGUCAGACAACAAGGCAGUGCCCAGGGCCUUUAACUAAUUCUGAAUUGAUUCAGGACUCAUCUGGUGGUCUUCUUGAAGACCAACAAAUCAUAAAUUGAUAUCAAUUCCACGGAAAAGGGGCUUUAAUAAAACAAAACAAAACAAAAAAACAGGUAUUUAUCUUAGUGUUGCAGAAAGAAUUAUUGUCUUAAUUCUCCAGAAACCUGGGCCUGUAGGGUACCAGAAGUGAGCUGGCUUGAAGAGGGGAGGAAGAGGGCAGAAAUGCUGGAAAUUAGAUCCUAUGAGAAUGUGAUAGCAGCUCUUAUUUGCAAAAUAAAAAAUAAAAAUACUGAUUUUUAAGGUUUUACAUUUAAAGUAAAACUUUGGCUAAGGAAAAAGACAAUAGAGGCCUGCUGUACCCAGACAGAACGAGGUGGUUAGUUGAUCUCUUUGGGUUCAAUGUGACAAUCUUAUCUCUGACUCCACAAGUGGUGGUUGUUUGCCGACCUUUGUUCCUACACCAAACCCAGCAUAUUCUUCAAUAAAUACUUAUCUUUGGAGCCCAUGGUUGUGUCAGUCUUGUCUGUUCUGGGAAGCUAACCAGACCCAGGCCUGGGACGUAUUUUGAUGAGAGACCACCUGGGAAUCACAGAAGCCAUCUACAUACACCAGGGAGUUGUGGUCAAACUCUUGGCAAACCAUAGACCACAGGAAUCUAAUGAGUGGAAAGACUUCAUUUGGCCCCAUCAUCACUGCCGAGUUGAUUGAUGAGGCAGAGAUGCAGCCCUACUUACGUACCUAUUUCUGUCUUCCCUUUGUGAUGAGCUGGGACAGGGCAUGUGGUGCACAAAGAGCCUAUCAGUCGACUUGUGGGCCUUUUAUGGAUGAAAAUGUCAAAUGGGGGAUGUCUGCAGGGCAGCGCAUGUGGCAGAGCUGGGGGAGGGCGAUGGGAAGACAUGGUCAGAUGAAAGAAAAGAUGUCGUCUCCUAAUCUAAUCUGCCUAUAAGGUCGAAUGCCUGCUUUUGUCUUUCUCAGUUUGGAGCAGGCAAAGCAGUAAUAUUUACCCAUUGCUACAGAUUCUGCAAUGAAUCUGGUUGAUUGACACCUGGCCCUGGAGUAAAUCAUAAUUUUGUCAGGACAGCAGCUCUGAGAGCUGUUGUUUUCACCAGCAGCCCCGCUUAUCCAGGUAUGAAAUCGUGUGACUGAUUCCUGGUGUAUCAGGGGUCUAGCCAACAUGCUGUGCACUAAGCAUGCGUGGAGAGACCUGCAAAAUCACAGCUGUCCUGGUCUGGCAGCCUGCCUUGUAGGGGUGGUUUCUCUCUCGAAGGCUUGGGAUGCCUGUGGGGGUCCUUUCUGCCUGACAGCAUUUGCUGUAGUGGGAGCCUCACCUCCUGUUGCUGAGAAUGGACGGACUAGAUCUUGUUAUAAACUUCACAUAUUCCAGGCUAAAUCAACAGCUGCUUAGAUUUUAUUCCUAUUAUUAUCACUAA